UCCAGUAUGGUGUAACAGCUAACAUUACCGCCUUUCACGUUGCAUUUGCGCGGUAGCUCAGGGUUCGACCCCCUGUACCGGAG